rnacentral:rRNA from 1 species
CGGACGGGUGAGUAACGCGUAGGCAACCUGCCCUUUGCACAGGGAUAGCCAUUGGAAACGAUGAUUAAAACCUGAUAACACCAUUUGGUUACAUGAGCAGAUGGUCAAAGAUUUAUCGGCAAAGGAUGGGCCUGCGUCUGAUUAGCUAGUUGGUAAGGUAACGGCUUACCAAGGCGACGAUCAGUAGCCGGCCUGAGAGGGCGGACGGCCACAUUGGGACUGAGACACGGCCCAGACUCCUACGGGAGGCAGCAG